AUUGAACGCUGGCGGCAUGCCUAACACAUGCAAGUCGAGCGAGCGGCGGACGGGUGAUUAAUGUCUGGGUACCUUCCUGAUUGGGGGGGCUACCUCCUGGCAACGGUAACUACUCCCGCAUCCCAUCAGAUGUGCCCCGAUUGGAUUGGCUUGUAGGUGGGGUAACGGCGCACCAAGGCGACGAUCCCUUGCUGGUCUGAGAGGAUGACCCGCCACACUGGAACUGAGACACGGUCCAGACUCCUACGGGAGGCAGCAGUGGGGAAUAGUGCACAAGGGGCGAAAGCCUGAUUCAGCCAUGCCGCGUGGAUGAAGAAGGCCUUCGGGUUGUAAAGUACUUUUAGCGGGGAGGCGGUACCAGCAGAAGAAGAACCGGCUAACUCCGUGCCAGAAGCCGCGGUAAUUC
rnacentral:rRNA from 1 species